GAGAAAUGUAUUGCCUCACCAUUCUGAAGGCCAGAAGUCCACUCUCAUGAUGUCCUGGGGGCCACACUUGCUCUGAAGGUGCCAGGUUCAGAACAGUGAGGGAAUUAUUUCCAGAUUUGACAUCAGAAACUUGACCCUAAUACUAGUUGUUCAACUAUGAAUUUCAAUAUCCUGAUUUAUGAAUUAUGGAGGGGGAAAAGUGCUUUUUACACACGGAUAUUGGGCAAGAUCGUUCAUAAACAAGGGUUACAUAGCGCAAGGUUAAAGAGCCCAGAGACAGGAGACAGACUGCUCAGGUUCAAAUCCUGGUUUUGUCACUUCCUGUCUGUGUGAUCUGGAGAAACUUAAUUAGCCUCUCUGUGCCUCAAGUUUUUCAUCUGUAAAAGCAGAUACCUACUGGCCUUCAAAUGGCAUUCUCAAAGUUGCUAGUCAAGUGAAAUUAAUUCUGAAAACGCCAUCUUAAGGAAUAAGUGCGAGAGCAUGGAUUUUUAAAGGCAUACUCGUUGUCAGGGUGUAAGCUGAAUCUCCUCAAAAAUGAAUCUGAUAAAUUGAGAAAAAAAUCAGAAUUAAGGAAAAAUGGCUAAUAUACUGAUGAUUGGAAUUCAAAAUGUGAAUAUGAAAUAGAAAGAAAGUAAAAAUGAACGAACAUUAUUUGUAAAGGUCAGAUAUGGUUUAAAACUGCUUUCAGCACUCUGGAGGAACAAGAGAAACCAAAGGAAGGAAAAUUGAACAGAGAAUGAAUGAAAUAGUGUAACUUUGAAUCUACAUCCGUACUCAAUGGCUACUGUGGAAGGAAUCUAAGAGAACAAAAGCUCGGUUAACUCAUUUACACAAAGCAAUUGGAGAAAGGAAUCGCCCACUGGAUAGAUGAGAUUUCUGAAUGAGAUACUGCCCUCCCAGCAGCAAGUGAAUGACGGAACUCAAUUUUGAGCGAAGUGAGCUGUUACUUCCAUUUGCCUCGUUAGGGGAGAACUAAGGAGUCUUUAAUCACAGGAGAUAACUCAUGCAGGCGAUGACGCUGGGUUGCGCAUGAUGGAAGGACGGAGCUGGAGGUAGCAGAGACGGCAGAUCCAAAGUGGACACAGCAGGUGCAGCGAUGAGAUCCACCAGUAGCAACGACCUGUGUCUCACGCCUGUGCAAAUCCAAGGCACUUCGCUACCUUGGCUAACAUCUGUCUCAAAACCAGCUCAACUAUAGUAAAAAUACUCCCAUUAGAGAAAAAUAGCUUUAACCAUAUCCUGUUUGAAAUCUGGACUGUUGAUAAUUUAUAAGAACUGUUCAACCACUAUGGCCAAAAGUGGUGAGGAGACUGGAUUGCAGCCAACAGAUACAAGGCCUGUUGAGGCCAAGGGAGGAACAAUCAUUUACAAAAUACAUAUGAGUUUAAGUAAUGACAUAGAAGAGAUGAAAGUGAACAAAUUAGAAGUCAAUGAUAAUUAUAUCCUGUAAGUUAGAGAAGUAAAAUGUACUGGCAUUUAAAAAAUUUCAACAAGUCAUUCAUUCUUUACUGAGGCAGUGCUUUUCAAUGUACGGGCCUGCUGCAAGCUUUAUACUGACGCAGAUUUUUC